rnacentral:rRNA from 1 species
UGGGGAAUAUUGCACAAUGGAGGGAACUCUGAUGCAGCGACGCCGCGUGAGUGAUGAAGGAAUUCGUUUCGUAAAACUCUGUUCUAUGGGAAGAAAAGGACUGUACCAUAGGAGAAAGCUCCGGCUAAAUACGUGCCAGCAGCCGCGGUAAUACGUAUGGAGCGAGCGUUGUCCGGAAUUAUUGGGCGUAAAGGGUGCGCAGGCGGCUUUACAAGUUGGAUGUGAAAUAUUGUGGCUCAACCACAAACGUGCAUCCAAAACUGCAAAGCUUGAGUUAAGGAGAGGUAAGUGGAAUUCCUGGUGUAGCGGUGGAAUGCGUAGAUAUCGGGAGGAAUACCGGUGGCGAAGGCGACUUACUGGACUUAAACUGACGCUCAGGCACGAAAGCGUGGGGAGCAAACAGG